rnacentral:lncRNA from 1 species
UGCAGCCCGGCCGCCCUCGGCGGCAGCUGUCAAGGGAAAAUCCCACGGUGGGCGCUCUUGCAAGAGCGGCAAUGAGAAUGCGAGUCUUUGGAAGGUCCAGUUUUGUCGGAGCAAAAUGAAGGCACCAGCACAUAUUUACAAAGUGUAGAUAUCCUGGCUCUGUUUGUUGCUCAUCUGUUUCCACAGCGUUGGGAUUACUUCAAUGCAGAGGAAAAAUCCUUUCUGCGUCCAGGCAACUAAAGAAG